rnacentral:rRNA from 1 species
UACGUAGGGGGCAAGCGUUGUCCGGAAUCAUUGGGCGUAAAGCGCGUGUAGGCGGGUCGGUAAGUCCGCUCUGAAAGCCCGGGGCUCAACCCCGGGAGGCGGGUGGAUACUGUCGACCUCGAGUCCGGAAGAGGCGAGUGGAAUUCCUGGUGUAGCGGUGAAAUGCGCAGAUAUCGGGAGGAACACCUGUGGCGAAAGCGGCGCACUGGACCAUAACUGACGCUGAGGCGCGAAAGCUAGGGGAGCAAACAGG